rnacentral:rRNA from 1 species
GAUCCUGGCUCAGGAUGAACGCUAGCUACAGGCUUAACACAUGCAAGUCGAGGGGAAACGACAUCGAAAGCUUGCUUUUGAUGGGCGUCGACCGGCGCACGGGUGAGUAACGCGUAUCCAACCUGCCUACCACUUGGGGAUAACCUUGCGAAAGUAAGACUAAUACCCAAUGACAUCCCACGAAGACAUCUGAAUGGGAUUAAAGAUUUAUCGGUGUACGAUGGGGAUGCGUUCCAUUAGGUAGUAGG